rnacentral:rRNA from 1 species
UACGGAGGGAGCUAGCGUUGUUCGGAAUUACUGGGCGUAAAGCGCGCGUAGGCGGCUUUGUAAGUUAGAGGUGAAAGCCCGGAGCUCAACUCCGGAACUGCCUUUAAAACUGCAUCGCUUGAAUCCAGGAGAGGUGAGUGGAAUUCCGAGUGUAGAGGUGAAAUUCGUAGAUAUUCGGAAGAACACCAGUGGCGAAGGGCGGCUCACUGGACUGGUAUUGACGCUGAGGUGGCGAAAGCGUGGGGAGCAAACAGG